rfam:Physcomitrella patens subsp. patens PHYPAscaffold_13 genomic scaffold, whole genome shotgun sequence.
CGUUCUAAUGAUGAUCAAACAAAUACUUUCGUUCUACCUAUUUGCUAUAUGCAAUGAGGAAAAACAUUUGGAGACCUGAACUGAAGAAUG